rnacentral:lncRNA from 1 species
AUUUCUGGUUGCCAAUUGUCAGGGUAAGAAAAUCAAGUACAGAUGUGGUGUAUGUCGGAGAUUUGGACACACUCGAAGUAGUUGUGAUUCAACAUUGGCCUUUCUUUAUAGGAGACACCCAUGGGAACCACCUGGAUUGGCUGUAAGUAUUGUCUACUACAUGUCUACUUCUAAGACUGCAAAAAUUGCUAUUGACUGUAAGUAAUGACCUCCUCAUUGUUUUGUUUAUAUCAGAGGCCUAAGAAGACUGCAAAGAUAUCUACUUCUAAAAGUGCUGCAAAGAGGGCUAAAAAGGCCUAGAUGACUACGGCAUGUUAUUGCAA